rnacentral:rRNA from 1 species
AGCAGUAGCCGCGGGAAUACGGAGGGUGCAAGCGUUAAUCGGAAUUACUGGGCGUAAAGCGCACGCAGGCGGUCUGACAAGUCAGAUGUGAAAUCCCCGGGCUUAACCUGGGAACUGCAUUUGAAACUGUCAGGCUGGAGUCUUGUAGAGGGGGGUAGAAUUCCAGGUGUAGCGGUGAAAUGCGUAGAGAUCUGGAGGAAUACCGGUGGCGAAGGCGGCCCCCUGGACAAAGACUGACGCUCAGGUGCGAAAGCGUGGGGAGCAAACAGGAUUAGAGACCCCUGUAGUCCCUGUCUCUUAUAC